rnacentral:rRNA from 1 species
CCUACGGGAGGCAGCAGUAGGGAAUCUUCCACAAUGGGCGAAAGCCUGAUGGAGCAACGCCGCGUGGGUGAAGAAGGUCUUCGGAUCGUAAAACCCUGUUGUUAGAGAAGAAAGUGCGUGGGAGUAACUGUUCACGUUUCGACGGUAUCUAACCAGAAAGCAACGGCUAACUACGUGCCAGCAGCCGCGGUAAUACGUAGGUGGCAAGCGUUAUCCGGAAUUAUUGGGCGUAAAGGGAACGCAGGCGGUCUGUUAAGUCUGAUGUGAAAUCCUCGGGCUUAACCGGGGUAGUGCAUGUGAUACUGGGAAGCUUGAGUGCAGUAGAGGGGGGUAGAACUCCAUGUGUAGCGGUGAAAUGCGUAGAGAUGUGGAAGAACACCAGUGGCGAAAGCGGCUCCCUGGACUGUAACUGACGCUGAGGUUCGAAAGCGUGGGUAGCAAACAGGAUUAGAUACCCUAGUAGUC